UACGGAGGGUGCGAGCGUUAAUCGGAAUUACUGGGCGUAAAGCGCACGCAGGCGGUUUGUUAAGCUAGAUGUGAAAGCCCCGGGCUCAGCCUGGGAUGGUCAUUUAGAACUGGCAGACUAGAGUCUUGGAGAGGGGAGUGGAAUUCCAGGUGUAGCGGUGAAAUGCGUAGAUAUCUGGAGGAACAUCAGUGGCGAAGGCGGCUCCCUGGCCAAAGACUGACGCUCAUGUGCGAAAGUGUGGGUAGCGAACAGG
rnacentral:rRNA from 1 species